GCAGCCGCCGCGGGAAAACGGAGGGUGCAAGCGUUAAUCGGAAUUACUGGGCGUAAAGCGCACGCAGGCGGUCUGACAAGUCAGAUGUGAAAUCCCCGGGCUUAACCUGGGAACUGCAUUUGAAACUGUCAGGCUGGAGUCUUGUAGAGGGGGGUAGAAUUCCAGGUGUAGCGGUGAAAUGCGUAGAGAUCUGGAGGAAUACCGGUGGCGAAGGCGGCCCCCUGGACAAAGACUGACGCUCAGGUGCGAAAGCGUGGGGAGCAAACAGGAUUAGAUACCCCUGUAGUCCCUGUCUCUUAUAC
rnacentral:rRNA from 1 species